UGAAUACGAGACGCUAAGGCGUCGAAGUAGUGUAUGUCAUACUUCCAAGAAAAGCUUGCACUGUCAUAGAUAAAAAACGCCUGUACCAUAACCGACACAGGUGGGUAGGUAGAGUAUACUAAGGGGCGCGAGAUAACUCUCUCUAAGGAACUCGGCAAAAUAACUCCGUAACUUCGGGAGAAGGAGUGCCUUAUUCGUAAGGUUGCAAUAACAAGAUCCAAGCAACUGUUUAUCAAAAACACAGGUCUCCGCUAAGUCGUAAGACGAUGUAUGGGGGCUGACGCCUGCCCAGUGCCAGAAGGUUAAAGAAGUUGGUUAGCAAUUGCGAAGCUGAUAACUGAAGCCCUGGUGAACGGCGGCCGUAACAAUAACGGUCCUAAGGUAGCGAAAUUCCUUGUCGGGUAAGUUCCGACCCGCACGAAAGGCGUAAUGAUUUGGAUACUGUCUCGGAGAGGGGCUCGGUGAAAUAGACUUGUCUGUGAAGAUGCGGACUACCUGCACCAGGACAGAAAGACCCUAUGAAGCUUUACUGUAACUUGAAAUUGAAAUUGGACUUUAUUCGCGCAGUAUAGGUGGGAGGCGUUGAUUAUAAUCUUGUGGGAUUAUUGGAGCCAUCAGUGAGAUACCACUCUUGUAAUGUUAGAUUUCUAACUUUGAAUCAUUAUCUGGUCAAAGAACAGUUUCAGGCGGGCAGUUUGACUGGGGCGGUCGCCUCCUAAACGGUAACGGAGGCGUACAAAGGUUUCCUCUGAACGGUUAGAAAUCGUAUCUAGAGUGUAAAGGCAUAAGGAAGCUUGACUGUGAGACCUACAAGUCGAGCAGGGACGAAAGUCGGUCUUAGUGAUCUGACGGUACUGAGUGGAAAGGCCGUCACUCAACGGAUAAAAGUUACUCUAAGGAUAACAGGCUGAUCUCCCCCAAGAGUUCACAUCGACGGGGAGGUUUGGCACCUCGAUGUCGGCUCAUCGCAUCCUGGGGCGGUAGUACGUCCCAAGGGUUGGGCUGUUCGCCCAUGAAAGCGGUACGCGAGCUGGGUUCAGAACGUCGUGAGACAGUUCGGUCCAUAUCCGGUGUAGGCGUUAGAAUAUUGAGAGGAGCCUUCUUUAGUACGAGAGGACCGAGAAGGACAUACCUCUGGUGUACCAGUUAUCGUGCCAACGGUAAACGCUGGGUAGCUAUGUAUGGAGUGGAUAACCGCUGAAAGCAUCUAAGUGGGAAGCCCACCUCAAGAUAAGUAUUCUCAC
rnacentral:rRNA from 1 species